rnacentral:rRNA from 1 species
GUCCACACAGUAACGAUGAAUACUCGCUGUUGCGAUAUACAGUAAGCGGCCAAGCGAAGCGUUAAGUAUUCCACCUGGGAGUACGCCGGCAACGGUGAACUCAAAGGAAUUGACGGGGCCCGCACAAGCGGAGGAACAUGUGGUUUAAUUCGAUGAUACGCGAGGAACCUUACCCGGGCUUGAAUUGCAACUGAAUGAUGUGGAGACAUGUCAGCCGCAAGGCAGUUGUGAAGGUGCUGCAUGGUUGUCGU